GACGAACGCUGGCGGCGCGCUCAACACAUGCAAGUCGAACGGAAAGGCCUGCUUUCCCUUGUGGAUUGCGGGUACUCGAGUGGCGAACGGGUGAGUAACACGUGAGUGAUCUGCCCCCAACUUGGGUAUAAGCCUGGGAAACUGGGUCUAAUUCCCGAUAGGACUGCAGGGUGGUGCCUGUGGUGGAAAACGACUUUCUAGUGGUUGGGGAUGAGCUCGCGGCCUAUCAGCUUGUUGGUGGGGUAAUGGCCUACCAAGGCGGCGACGGGUAGCCGGCCUGAGAGGGUGGACGGCCACAUUGGGACUGAGAUACGGCCCAGACUCCUACGGGAGGCAGCAGUGGGGAAUAUUGCACAAUGGGCGGAAGCCUGAUGCAGCGACGCCGCGUGGGGGAUGACGGCCUUCGGGUUGUAAACUCCUUUCGACCGCGAGGAAGCCACCUGGUUGGAAGGGUGGUGACGGUAGUGGUAGAAGAAGCACCGGCUAACUACGUG
rnacentral:rRNA from 1 species